CGACCCUCCCGUCCGCCGACCUACUACGAACGUACCUACCGUACGGGGGCGAGGCAGUCGGGGAAGUCGUUGCACAAUCGGGGGAAACCCGUGAUGCAGCGACGCCGCGUGAGCGAUGAAGCCUUCCGGGGUGUUAAAGCUCGUUUCGUCCGGGGAAGAGUAAUGACGGUACCCGGAGAAGCAGCUGCGGCUAACUACGUGCCAGCCGCCGCGGUAAUUC
rnacentral:rRNA from 1 species